GACGAACGCUGGCGGCGUGCCUAAUACAUGCAAGUCGAACGGAGUGGCGCACGGGUGAGCAAUAGACAGCUAAUCUGCCCCUUGCUGGAGGACAACAGUUAGAAAUGACGGCUAAUAUUCCACAGCAAGGGAUGAGACUAUAUCGUAUCAGCUAGUCGGUGGGGUGACGGCCUACCGAGGCUAUGACGCGUAACUGGUCUGAGAGGAUGAUCAGUCACAUUGACACUGAGACACGGUCCAAACUCCUACGGGAGGCAGCAGUAGGGUAUGUUGCACAAUGGGGGAAACCCUGACGCAGCAACGCCUCGUGGGGGAUGACACUUUUCGGGGCGUAAACGCCUUUUAUUAGGGAGGCGGUACCUAACGAAUAAGCACCGGCUAACUCCGUGCCAGCAGCCGCGGUAAUUC
rnacentral:rRNA from 1 species